rnacentral:rRNA from 1 species
AACGAACGCUGGCGGCGUGGAUAAGACAUGCAAGUCGAACGAGACUUUUCGUUGUAGCAAUACGAUGGAAAGUUUAGUGGCGAACGGGUGCUUAACACGUGGGCAACCUGCCAGGAAGUGGGGGAUAGCUCGCCGAAAGGCGAAUUAAUACCGCAUGUGAUUAGAGAGGACAUCCUUUCGAAAUUAAAGUCGGGGCAACCUGACGCUUCGUGGGGGGCCCGCGGCCUAUCAGCUAGUUGGGGAGGUAACGGCUCACCAAGGCUUUGACGGGUAGCUGGUCUGAGAGGACGACCAGCCACACUGGGACUGAGACACGGCCCAGACACCUACGGGUGGCAGCAGUCGAGAAUUUUUGACAAUGGGGGAAACCCUGAUCGAGCGACGCCGCGUGGAGGGUGAAGGUCUUCGGAUUGUAAACUCCUGUCAUUGGGGAACAAGGUGCAUACGUUAACUGCGUGUGUAUUGAUAGUACCCGAAGAGGAAGAGACGGCUAACUCUGUGCCAGCCGCCGCGGUAAUAC